rfam:Mustela putorius furo unplaced genomic scaffold scaffold00060, whole genome shotgun sequence.
GUCUAUGGCUUUACCACCUUGAAAACACCUGAUCUCAUCUGAUCUCAGAAGCUAAGCAGGGUCGGCCUGGUUAGGUACUUGAAUGGGAGGAAAGUCUCCUUUUAGUAGAGCUUAUGAAGGAAAAGGGGAAGUUGUAAUGC